UUGUGUAUGGAAAUGUCUCCUUCUCAUUCCUUGAGGAGCAAAAGUAUAUCCAUAAUAUGCCACAUUGAAAGUUGUCAGGGCUGCCAGUCUAAUAGUGGAGGCUGAGUACUAUUCUAGUGUACUUGUCCUACAUAA
ensembl:snoRNA